GCUGCUCGAAACUUUGCACACCUCUUCGUGGUGAGCAGCAGGCAACACAUGAGAAUGUGGCGAAGAAUGCAAAG
rnacentral:ribozyme from 10 species